CCUGUUUCUGUUACAGGCAUCUUGUCUCUCAAAGAGAGAAUCUAGAGAUUAAUAUCAUAUUUCUUCUGUCAAAACUUCUCAGAAGAAGUAUACCAAUUCUCCUUUUCCAGUGAGUAAUUCUACAACCCAAUGAUGUUCUUGGAAGCUCCAUUUUUCCUUAAUUGACAGAAAGCCUGUGCUACUUCACUGCAGCGGAAAUCAAGAUUUAAAAAUCCCAUUAACACAAACACGGAUAAUUGCCAAUAUGCUAGCAAAAGAAUUGAAGCUUGUGCCAUUUGGGAGUUAUGGUCCUUGGCAUGACAAGAUGCAGACUUGAUCGUUUCAAGCUUAUCGUGGAGCCAUGAAAAUCAUCUUCGCUUAGCUGGAUCUUUAUCAACUGGCAGGAUCUGGAGCCUUAAAACAUUGUCAUUUCAAGGAUCUGUGGACAUCAUUUGCCAGCAUCUAUACUCCAAAACAGCAUAGGUGCUUGUAUUUGAGGUCAAUCUUUUGUCUAAAUAUUCCUUGGUCUGUCUAUCCUCUGAAGCACUCCCUGGAGACAACCUUGUUUAUGUGUGUCUUCCAGCCUAGACCUCACUUGAUAUGUCAAACCUAACAAGUCUUGGCAGACUAUAAUUGCCACUUCUAUUCUUCCUUUACCCCAAUUUGAAGUUCUAAAAGUCGUUUAUUACCUUAAAUAUCCUGCUUUAAGCUGGGACU